rnacentral:rRNA from 1 species
AUUGAACGCUGGCGGCAGGCUUAACACAUGCAAGUCGAGCGGGGUGAUGGUGCUUGCACUAUCACUUAGCGGCGGACGGGUGAGUAAUGCUUAGGAAUCUGCCUAUUAGUGGGGGACAACAUCUCGAAAGGGAUGCUAAUACCGCAUACGUCCUACGGGAGAAAGCAGGGGAUCACUUGUGACCUUGCGCUAAUAGAUGAGCCUAAGUCGGAUUAGCUAGUUGGUGGGGUAAAGGCCUACCAAGGCGACGAUCUGUAGCGGGUCUGAGAGGAUUAUCCAGCACACUGGGACUGAGACACGGCCCAGGCUCCUACGGGAGGCAGCAGUGGGGAAUAGUGGACAAUGGGGGGAACCCUGAUCCAGCCAUGCCGCGUGUGUGAAGAAGGCCUUAUGGAUGUAAAGCACUUUAAGCGAGGAGGAGGCUCUUUUGGUUAAUACCCAAGAUGAGUGGACGUUACUCGCAGAAUAAGCACCGGCUAACUCUGUGCCAGCUGCCGCCGUAA